UACGUAGGGCGCAAGCGUUGUCCGGAAUUUAUUGGGCGUAAAGAGCUCGUAGGCGGUUUGUCGCGUCUGCUGUGAAAACCUGAGGCUCAACCUCGGGCUUGCAGUGGGUACGGGCAGACUAGAGUGCGGUAGGGGUGACUGGAAUUCCUGGUGUAGCGGUGGAAUGCGCAGAUAUCAGGAGGAACACCGAUGGCGAAGGCAGGUCACUGGGCCGCAACUGACGCUGGAGGAGCG
rnacentral:rRNA from 1 species